AUUGAACGCUGGCGGCAGGCCUAACACAUGCAAGUCGAACGAGUGGCGGACGGGUGAGCAAUGUCUGGGCAACUGCCUGAUGGAGGCGGAUAACUACUGGAAACGGUAGCUACUACCGCAUAACAUCCGAUGUGCCCAGGUGGGAUUAGCUAGUUGGUGGGGUAACGGCUCACCAAGGCGCCGAUGCCCAGCUGGUCUGAGAGGAUGACCAGCCACACUGGAACUGAGACACGGCCCAGACUCCUACGGGAGGCAGCAGUGGGGAAUAUUGGACAAUGGGCGAAAGCCUGAGGCAGCCAUGCCGCGUGUAUGAAGAAGGCCUUCGGGUUGUAAAGUACUUUUGGCGGGGAGGCGUUACCCGCAGAAGAAGCAACGGCUAACUCCGUGCCAGCAGCCGCGGUAAUUC
rnacentral:rRNA from 1 species